rnacentral:rRNA from 1 species
AGCGAACGCUGGCGGCGUGCUUAACACAUGCAAGUCAAACGGUUCCGGGGUAGCAAUACUUCGGGAUAGUGGCGAACGGGUGAGUAACACGUGGGUAAUCUUCCCCCGAGUGAGGAAUAAGCUUGCGAAAGCGGGUCUAAUACCGCAUGACGCUUCGGGACUCAAGUCUUCGAAGCCAAAGCCGUAAGGCGCUUGGGGAUGAGCCUGCGUCCUAUUAGCUAGUUGGUAGGGUAAUGGCCUACCAAGGCGAUGAUGGGUAGCCGGCCUGAGAGGGUGAUCGGCCACACUGGAACUGAGACACGGUCCAGACUCCUACGGGAGGCAG